ensembl:rRNA 5S_rRNA 5S ribosomal RNA
UACAGCAGCCAUAUCACCCUGCAACUCACAACUGGCAACCCACUGAAGCUAAGCAGGUGUGAGCCUGGUCAGUACCUGGAUGGGAGACCUCAUGGGAAAAACUAAGGUUGCUGCUGGAA